rnacentral:rRNA from 1 species
UACGGAGGAUGCAAGCGUUAUCCGGAUUCACUGGGUUUAAAGGGUGCGUAGGUGGGGAGGUAAGUCAGCGGUGAAAUCCCCGAGCUUAACUUGGGAACUGCCAUUGAUACUAUCUCUCUUGAAUACCUUGGAGGUGAGCGGAAUAUGUCAUGUAGCGGUGAAAUGCUUAGAUAUGACAUAGAACACCCAUUGCGAAGGCAGCUCACUACACGGUCAUUGACACUGAGGCACGAAAGCGUGGGGAUCAAACAGG